AUCUAGUUGACGAGUCCCAAAUGGGAUGAAAAGAGCGUCCUGGAU
rnacentral:hammerhead_ribozyme from 1 species